rnacentral:rRNA from 1 species
AGAGUUUGAUCAUGGCUCAGAACGAACGCUGGCGGCAGGCCUAACACAUGCAAGUCGAGCGCCCCGCAAGGGGAGCGGCAGACGGGUGAGUAACGCGUGGGAAUCUACCUUGCUCUACGGAAUAACCCAGGGAAACUUGGGCUAAUACCGUAUACGUCCUUUUGGAGAAAGAUUUAUCGGAGUGAGAUGAGCCCGCGUUGGAUUAGCUAGUUGGCGGGGUAAUGGCCCACCAAGGCGACGAUCCAUAGCUGGUCUGAGAGGAUGAUCAGCCACACUGGGACUGAGACACGGCCCAGACUCCUACGGGAGGCAGCAGUGGGGAAUAUUGGACAAUGGGCGCAAGCCUGAUCCAGCCAUGCCGCGUGAGUGAUGAAGGCCCUAGGGUUGUAAAGCUCUUUCAGUGGUGAAGAUAAUGACGGUAACCACAGAAGAAGCCCCGGCCAACUUCGUGCCAGCAGCCGCGGUAAUACGAAGGGGGCUAGCGUUGUUCGGAAUUACUGGGCGUAAAGCGCACGUAGGCGGGUAUUCAAGUCGGGGGUGAAAUCCCGGGGCUCAACCCCGGAACUGCCUUCGAUACUGGAUGCCUUGAGUCCGGAAGAGGUGAGUGGAAUUGCGAGUGUAGAGGUGAAAUUCGUAGAUAUUCGCAGGAACACCAGUGGCGAAGGCGGCUCACUGGUCCGGUACUGACGCUGAGGUGCGAAAGCGUGGGGAGCAAACAGGAUUAGAUACCCUAGUAGUCC